GCCUACGGGGGGCAGCAGUAGGGAAUAUUGCACAAUGGGCGAAAGCCUGAUGCAGCAACGCCGCGUGAGCGAUGAAGGCCUUCGGGUCGUAAAGCUCUUUUCUGGGAGAUGAGAAAGGACAGUAUCCCAGGAAUAAGUCUCGGCUAACUACGUGCCAGCAGCCGCGGUAAAACGUAGGAGGCGAGCGUUAUCCGGAUUCACUGGGCGUAAAGCGCGUGCAGGCGGUUUGGUAAGUUGGGCGUGAAAUCUCCCGGCUCAACUGGGAGGGGUCGUCCAAUACUACCAGACUUGAGAGCGAUAGAGGAAAAUGGAAUUCCAGGUGUAGUGGUGAAAUGCGUAGAUAUCUGGAGGAACACCAGUGGCGAAAGCGAUUUUCUGGAUCGUUUCUGACGCUCAGACGCGAAAGCUAGGGUAGCAAACGGGAUUAGAUACCCCGGU
rnacentral:rRNA from 1 species